GCCCGGUUAGCUCAGUCGGUAGAGCAUGAGACUCUUAAUCUCAGGGCCGUGGGUUCGAGCCCCACAUUGGGCG
rnacentral:tRNA from 1 species